AUGAGUCUUCAUUCUGUCAUUCUGCUUUCUGCCUUUGCAUAUGCAACGUAUGGAAAUGAAAUCAAACCAACCAAAUCAGAGGUGUUUGCUGACGAGGGUUCAAUUGCUAAAUUAUCCUGCAGUUAUUCAUCCGCAUUUCGUCUUCACUGGUAUCGCCACUAUCCUGGAUCAGCACCCGAGUUCAUUGUGCUCAUCUCAGACGGUGCAAAACAAGCUCAGGAAUCUUAUGUAGAUUCAAGAUUCAAGACCAAAGUUAUUAAAGACAAAGAACCCCAUGUGGAUCUGGAGAUCUCCUCUGCAUCUAUAUCAGACUCUGCUCUGUACUACUGUGCUCUGGAGCCCACAGUGACAGGAAACACAAGAACACUGCUCUUGUGUUUGUGUUCAAAACGGUCACCUCCAACCAAUCACCUGCAUCUGAAACCAUCAAAGUAA